AGGUUAUUGAGUAUAUGGGGAUGAUGACACGACAUUCAAUGUCAUAAAUGCGAGAAAAAAUAAAAGGGGAAACAAUUUCCCCUUUAUUUGCUAAU
rnacentral:sRNA from 1 species